AUUGAACGCUGGCGGCAGGCCUAACACAUGCAAGUCGAGCGGUUGAGAUAGCUUGCUAUCGAUGCAGCGGCGAACGGGUGAGUAAUGCAUGGGAAUCUGCCUGGUAGUGGGGGACAACGUUUCGAAAGGAACGCUAAUACCGCAUACGCCCUACGGGGGAAAGGGGGGGAUCUUCGGACCUCUCGCUAUCAGAUGAGCCCAUGCCGGAUUAGCUAGUUGGGGGGGUAAAGGCCCACCAAGGCGACGAUCCGGAGCUGGUCUGAGAGGAUGCUCAGCCACACUGGAACUGAGACACGGUCCAGACUCCUACGGGAGGCAGCAGUGGGGAAUAUUGGACAAUGGGGGCAACCCUGAUCCAGCCAUGCCGCGUGUGUGAAGAAGGCCUUAGGGUUGUAAAGCACUUUCAGUGGGGAGAAAGGUGGUUCACCUAAUACGUGAGCCAAUUGAUGCUACCCACAGAAGAAGCACCGGCUAACUCCGUGCCAGCAGCCGCGGUAA
rnacentral:rRNA from 1 species